AACAGAGUUUUUUGCUAACUGAAGAAUCUGAUUUCUGUCUUUGCAGGGAUACACAAGCUGACUGCUCUCGAAUCAUCAUUCAGUCUGGUAUGCAGAAAAUACAGCAUGCCUUGGCUAAUCACAGAGCUAAUCCUUGGUUUUCAUUAGGAGAAUUAUGGAAAGACCAUAGAUCCCUCUUUUCCACCAAAGUGAUUGAGAGCUGGUUCUGGAAAGGGCCAUAAGGCCUAAGAGGACAAAGAAUGCCAACAACAUGCGAAGGAUGAGCAGCACAGAUUUGCAUGUGAAUCGAACCCAGGAGCUUAAAAACAUGGCUACUCCCUACCACGAACACAGAACAGGAGAAGGCCUCUGGAAGAGCCUGAAAUGUCUUCAAGAAUUACAAGAGGACCAGCUUUUGAUUCAGUUUUUUUGACUACCAUGACCUGGAUGACUCAGAAUCUACACCAACAACAUGAAUAUAAUUAAAAACAUUCAGGACAGUUAUGGAGUUAAAUUUCAAACAGUUGAUAAAGACAAUUUGCCCUACUCCUAUCCACCUUAACUGGCCUGAUCAUACAUUAUGUGGUUGCUGAAAUUUAUAAUGGAAAAGAAAAACAAUGUUUGAAAUGUGAAGUUUUAAAGCUUUGAGGACUGAGGAUUUAUUUAUUUCAUUUUUGUUCUAUGGCUGGUGAGAACAUACUGCUUUGUCACAGUUUAUGAUGCCUUACUAUAAAAUGUUUUAAACACUAAA